ACCUGACAUCUUCUUUGUCCAUCUCCCACCUUCUACUCUAUACUGCAUCUGAUGCAGGGCUCUAUCGUCAUAUAUAUCAAAAUGUGACAGCUUUUUGAAUGCCUUAUGUUUUAGAGAUACUCCUGCUGACUCAAAUACUCUAGUCAAGGUCAUUCUAUAGGAUAAACAGAUCUUGUUCUUAGCUGCUGUCUCUCUAAUUUGAUUCAUCAUGAUUUCAGACAAAUUUAGAGGCAUGCCCUGAACAAUGUGAUACAUCAGCAUCCACUCUCUCUUCGAGACAAAGUCGUGCCUCCCUAGUU
rnacentral:lncRNA from 1 species